rnacentral:rRNA from 1 species
GAUGAACGCUAGCGACAGGCUUAACACAUGCAAGUCGAGGGGCAGCACGGGAGUAGCAAUACAACUGGUGGCGACCGGCGCACGGGUGAGUAACGCGUAUGCAACCUACCUAUCAGAGGGGAAUAACCCGGCGAAAGUCGGACUAAUACCGCAUAAAACAGGGGCACCGCAUGGUGAUAUUUGUUAAAGAAAUUCGCUGAUAGAUGGGCAUGCGUUCCAUUAGGUAGUUGGUGAGGUAACGGCGCACCAAGCCGACGAUGGAUAGGGGAACUGAGAGGUUGGUCCCCCAAACUGGUACUGAGACACGGACCAGACUCCUACGGGAGGCAGCAGUGAGGAAUAUUGGUCAAUGGGCGAGAGCCUGAACCAGCCAAGUCGCGUGAAGGAAGAAGGAUCUAUGGUUCGUAAACUUCUUUUGCAGGGGAAUAAAAUGCAGGACGUGUCCUGUUUUGUAUGUACCCUGAGAGUAAGGAUCGGCUAACUCCGUGCCAGCCGCCGCAGUAAUAC